AUUGAACGCUGGCGGCAGGCCUAACACAUGCAAGUCGAGCGAGCGGCGGACGGGUGAGUAAUGUAUGGGGAUUGCCCGAGAGAGGGGGCUAACUCCUGGAAACGGUGGCUAAUACCGAAUACUAGCGGAUAACCCAUAUGGGAUUAGAUAGUAGGUGGGGGAAAGGCUCACCUAGGCGACGAUCUCUAGCUGGUCUGAGGGGAUGAUCAGCCACACGGUGACGGUGACCCGGCCCAGACUCCUACGGAGGCAGCGGUUGGGAUUCUUGCACAAGGGGCGCAAGCCUGAUGCAGCCAUGCCGCGUGUAUGAAGCAGACCGUGGGGUUGUAAAGUACUUUCAGCGGGGAAGCGUUACCCGCAGAAGAAGCACCGGCUAACUCCGUGCCAGCAGCCGCGGUAAUUC
rnacentral:rRNA from 1 species